CAAUAGCGUAUAUUUAAGUUGCUGCAGUUAAAAAGCUCGUAGUUGGAUUUCGGGUGGGAAUGGCCGGUCCGCCGUUUCGGUGUGCACUUGCUACGCCCACCUUGCUGCCGGGGACGUGCUCUUGAGUUCACGCUCGGGACACGGAGUCGGCGAGGUUACUUUGAGUAAAUUAGAGUGUCCAAAGCAGGCCUACGCUCUGAAUACAUUAGCAUGGAAUAACACGAUAGGACUCUGGCCUAUCUUGUUGGUCUGUAGGACCGGAGUAAUGAUUAAGAGGGACAGUCGGGGGCACUCGUAUUUCAUUGUCAGAGGUGAAAUUCUUGGAUUUAUGAAAGACGAACUACUGCGAAAGCAUUUGCCAAGGAUGUUUUCAUUAA
rnacentral:rRNA from 1 species